rnacentral:rRNA from 1 species
UACGAAGGGGGCUAGCGUUGCUCGGAAUCACUGGGCGUAAAGCGCACGUAGGCGGCUUGUUAAGUCAGGGGUGAAAUCCUGGAGCUCAACUCCAGAACUGCCUUCGAUACUGGAAAGCUCGAGUCCGGGAGAGGUGAGUGGAACUGCGAGUGUAGAGGUGAAAUUCGUAGAUAUUCGCAAGAACACCAGUGGCGAAGGCGGCUCACUGGCCCGGUACUGACGCUGAGGUGCGAAAGCGUGGGGAGCAAACAGG